GGUGAUCAUGUGCUACCUAGGAAGCGAGUAAUAGGGAAACUGCUGACAGGUUAAAGAGGAGAUAGGAGUUGUAGAGAAGAGACUCCAAGAAAGAACAAAUAUUCUAUGAUUUAGGCCUGGUCUAGACCUAAAACUUAGGUUGACCUAGCUAUAUCGCUCAAGGGUGUGAAGAAUUCUGCCAAUGUAGCUACCACCUCUUUACUACAGUGAUGAGAAAAACUUCUUCCAUUGCUAUGCUACCACUUGUCAAUCUUCCCCUGAAUACCUGGACACAGGACAUGGUGCAACAAGCUGAAGUCAAUCCAUUCUGCGUCUAGAACCGUUCAGUGUCCUUGCACCCAGUCACAUUAUUCUUGUCAUCUUUUAGCC